rnacentral:misc_RNA from 1 species
AAAAUGGCAGCCCCAACUCGCAACCCACAUAGCAUGAUCGAGUUCAGAGCAUAUACGUGGAACAUGGGAAGCACACAUAAAAUCACAUCUUCGCUAUGAAAAUACAAGUUGGGAUUGUCUCCAUCGACUUGUUGUGCUACACUGGUGACUUGCCCCUUGUGAGUUAACAUCACCCCUUUUGGCAAUCCGGUCGUCCCCGAUGA